CAAUUUUUUAAAUCUUGUUUUGUUUUUCUUCAGUGAAUAUAUCUUGUUCUCUUUCAUGUAGAGGCUUUCCAGAAAUCUCUGGUCACCCUUGCUGGUAUUAAAGUGGGAUAUUAAAAAGGUGACUGGAAGGUCUGAACACCUGGACCUAUUGGUUCUGAAGUUGACUGUGGUGUGAUCAGUGGGGGCUGCUCUUGGGAGAUGCUAGAAAUUUAGACAGUUUUCUUGUGCUAGUCACUAGAGAGGAGUUUUUUAGUCUUUUACAUAGAAAUGCUGGUAGUGUUUUGGGAACUGAGUGGAGCAGAAGAGUUGAGGUUGGGGGCGUUUAGCAUUUGCAUUUGAUAUACACAGAGACAAUUUCUUUAUUUUUGGUAGGGAGCACAGCCCUGCAGUCUCGAGUACAGAGACCUCCCUCUGCCCAGCCUCGACUGUUUCCACAGAAUCAACCUGCAAUUUUAUGCUGAUGUAGAGGACAGGCAAUUUCUCAGUGGAUUGGAAUGGGGAUGGGAGUCUGGCACUCUUAACUGUUCUUUUACCCGAUCUUAUUUAAGUCUCUCUUUUUAUCAUCUCUAGAUACCUGGAACAGACAAAUUCAGAGACUGUAUUAGCUAGAGAUCUACAGAAAAACAGAACCAAUAGAAUCCGUACAGAUAUAUUAAGGGAGAUUUUAUUAUGGGAAUUGAGUCAUGCUAUUAUGGAAGCUGAGAACUCCCAUGAUCUGCCAUCUGCAAGCUGGAGAUCCAGGAAGGGGGCAAAGGUGGCAUGGAAAUAGGAGGGUCACAGUGUAUGCACAUUGUGCCGUCAUCUAAAUGUGCCUGUCAACACGGCCUGCCACAUUUCAGUACCUCUCCCACCAUCAACCAGGGAACUGGAAAGGAGGUAAAAUUCAAAUAUUCUCCAGGAUUAAGGAACCAAUUCAGGAGGAAGGGGAAGACUGAGUUGCCUGACCAAUACAGUACGUGAGUGUGUUUUUGUGCUUGAAUUAUUUUGACAGUUGCAUCUACUAAUUUUUUGAUGAAUAUAGAGCUUUUUAUAGCUGGAGAUUUAAUCAUUUUUUUAAUUGCUUGAAAGCAAUAGAGACUGCCUAUAUAUCAUGAAUAUUAAGGUUAGGCAAUAUUUUGUUUAAAAGUUUAUCCCUAUAAUUGAAACAAAUUCAGAUAGCAAAAUCAUCUUUCUAACUUUUGGCUUUUCUUGAAAAUAAAUGCUUCCAAGUCAUAAUAAUGACAACUCUUGCCAGGUGUUGGCAGUGCAGUUUCACAAAAAGAUUUUCAUUCACCAGCUUAGCUGCUGGUGCCAUCUAGUGGCCAGUCCAAUGGAUAGACAAAGAUGGGUUCAGAAAAUGUACUCAAGAAGAAUUUGUUGCAAUCCUUUCUUUAAUAUUGAUAAUAAUGAUGCCCUCAAAGAAAACCAGAUAUUAAUAUUUAUAUUGUAAUUUGAAAGUUAUCAAAGGAAAUAAAUAGAAAAAGUGACUAAUGUAUUUUAAGAGAAAUGCACUUGAAGGCUAAAGUGUUCACAUUGAGAUUAAAUACUUAUCAAACUAGUAAGCAAAAAAUUCUGGAACCAUUCUUCUUAUAGUAAAGACUAACCAUAGAAAUAAUGAGAAAUUGUUGUAAGUUCUCAUUUAUCUAGGAAUAUUAUAUGAAAUGAAAUACUAAUAUAUUUUUUAAUUGAACAGUAGAAUGAAAUGGAAAAACCCAAACCUUAUCUGGAAGUCAAAAUUAUUUCACCAUCAUCAUCAGGGACUAGAAUGGUUAAAUGUCCCAAAUUUGAAGAGCCAUGACUUUCUUCUUUAGAGACAUUUCCCCCUACCUAGACUUUAGAGUGUAUCUACAUUAAUAUUUAUCAGCAGAAGUUUCUCCCCCUGUAUUUUGCUACUUUGUAUUAGUGUUGAUCCCACAUCAGUACAGUCUGUUUGGUUAGCACUAAGUGCUACAAAGAAUGAAAAGGGUUGCAAUUUAAGACAUUCUUGGGUUUCUGUGGGGAGACAAAUGCAAUGGUCUGAAAUGGCCCGGGAGGCCCUGAGCUUCAUUAGAGGGCUCACCUUCCACAGAGGGCCCUCUGUUUAAGGGGCUGACUCACCUCUAGCCCAUUAGGAAAGAACUCAAGGUUCUUGACCCCCCUUGGUUUUACGUGAGCAGAUUGCUUUUUGAUGUUGUUGAUUUUAUUGUUAGCAAGGUGCUUAGGACAUAGGUUAACAUAGUUCAAUAAAGAACCCUGUCAAGCUUUGAUGAACUUCCUCUAAAAUGAGAGGAUUAUACUCCUGACAAGUUUUCAGUAAAAAAAAAAAAGAAAAAAAAAAUGCUUAGAACUGUUUCCCUGCCCUGGGUAUAGUAAUGAGUUUGUCCUGAAUCAUGCCACAUUUCUGUCCUGUUCCUUUUAGGUGCAAUGGACUUUUCAAAUGGUCAGUUAAGUCAUGGCCAGGGCCAUGCAAGGAAAGCAAGGAGCCCUCACCACACUGCAUUCCCCUCUCUCACAAUCGUUUCGUAAAGAGUAUUAAUAGCUAAAAAUCAUUUGUGUAAUGGUUCACUUAUUUAGUCAGUGAUUAGUUCCUUAAAUAUCUAUCAAACAGCUAUUUGACUAAGGCCAUCAAGCUCAGGAUGAUGAAGUCAUAAUUCUCAUUCUCAAAGAACUACCAGUAAGAGAAAAGUAUUUCUUAGUGAAAGAAUAGCCUUCACCAGUAGAAGGCAAAGUAGUAGAAAUACAAAUAAGAAUUCUCGGAUUUCAGAGGCAAAAGAAAUCCCCGCAAGUUGUGCAGUCAGGAAAGGAGUGAGGACAUUUUAAAGCAUCGCCAUGUAAUGUAGGCUUUGAAGACUGGAUAUAGUUUCAAUGAAGAAAAAUGAGAGCCACGCAAUUCCAAUAUGUUGCCUCAUGGAAAUGGAGGACAAAAGCCACCUAAGUAAGGACAGGGUAGAGGAGCAGUCCCUGUCCAACAGGAAAGUAAACACCUUUCCAGGGAGAUGGAGAUGCCAGAGGGAGGAGGUGGGUCAGUGCUGGGACAGGUAUGAGCAUUCCCCAGCCUUGGUGCUGAAUCUGCAGGGUGUGUGGUUAGAAAGAACCAUAGAGUUUGAGGAAAAUCUGGAGCAGAGAGGUUUUUCAUGAUAUUCUAGAAGCUUAGGAAAAGGUUAAGCCUUUUAGGAAUCCUUCUGAGGGAAUUCCUAUGUUCAGAGAAGGAUGAUGCCACACAGGAGGUAUGUCAGAAUGACUGAGGAAGGCACCUACCUAAGACGGCUUCAGGGCAGACUCACAGCCCCUCUGGAACAAGCCAAAAUGCUAAAAUGCCAAGCAACCCAGAGCCUGGAAAGAUCUGGGAUUGGGACUUGGAGACC